GCGGGCCCUCGGCCGGCAGCGCCAUGUCCUCGGACAGCAAGAAGAGGAAGCCCAAGGUGAUCCGCACGGACGGGGGCCCGCAGGAGGGCAAGCGGGGCAAGGCCGAUGGCGAACAGGAUGCUCGGUACUACAGUGAGGAGUGUGAGGUGGAUCUCCGGGACCCCAUCAAGGACUAUGAGCUUUACAAAGAGACGUGCCAGGAGCUUCAGAGGCUCAUGGCAGAAAUCCAGGAGCUGAAGAGCAGAGGCGUCAAGGACAAUGCCUCCGAGAUAGACGAGCGACGCGUUCAGAGCUGUGUGCACUUCAUGACCCUGAAGAAGCUCAACCGGCUGGCUCACAUUCGGCUGAAGAAGGGCCGUGAUCAGACCCAUGAGGAAAGCAGAGGUUGAUGCCUAUCACCUGCAGCUCCAGAAUUUGGUUUAUGAGGUGAUGCAUCUUCAAAAGAGUUCACCACUC
rnacentral:misc_RNA from 1 species